UACCCAUUGAUACCAAGGCCAAAAAUUAUGC
rnacentral:piRNA from 1 species